rnacentral:rRNA from 1 species
GGACGUAGGGCGCGAGCGUGUCCGGAUUUAUUGGGCGUAAAGAGCUCGUAGGCGGCUUGUCGCGUCGUCUGUGAAAUCCCGCGGCUCAACCGCGGGUCUGCAGUCGAUACGGGCAGGCUAGAGUUCGGUAGGGGAGACUGGAAUUCCUGGUGUAGCGGUGAAAUGCGCAGAUAUCAGGAGGAACACCGGUGGCGAAGGCGGGUCUCUGGGGCCGAUACUGACGCUGG